CAAAUAAAAGAAAUAUAAACUAACAACUUUUAGUAACGGAAAAAGCAUAAACAAGGUCUUUUAAUGAACAAAUAUGGCUUUAUCGAUCUGCAAAACAAGUGUUAGGAAUAGCAACUUUGUUGAAUGGAUUCUUUAUUUGUGUUUGAGUGGGUUACAUGCGUAUUUGUAUUUCAACUGAACAACGUUUCAAAAAGAAAAAAUAGAUGAAAAUUUAAUUUGUUACUUUGUCAAUUUUAAGUUGCAAAUGUCAAACGUGAACGGAAAGAAAACAUUUCAUUAACGUCGUGUUGUUGUUGCACUUCACAUAUUAAUGAUAGCUUGUUAUAUAAAAAGCUCAGAGUGCUUACAUGUAGUUUAACAGAAACAAGAAAUAGACGUGGUCAUUUUAUAUUUAUAUACAUAGAGAGAGCGCUUCCCAUAAACCCAAAAAAAAAAAUUUGAGAACACAAAAUGGAGAAAAAAUUGAGUGUGGCGAUGAUAGUGUUCGUUUUGGUGGUGAUGGUGGCCACUGGAGGAGAAGCAGUUGAUCAUAUAUGUACAUUUAAAUGUGAAAUUACCUGCCGUGAUCCAGAGUUCAAAACCGAGUGCUUCAGAAAAUGCAUGGCCGACUGUACACAUAAACCUACAAGUACCUUUCACUCAACUAAACCAUACUCGAUGAAGACUGGAGAGAUGGAAGAAAUGAGAGGAUGAAGAUACUUUCACAAUGUGAUGAUGGUUUUUCCCAUGUUAUUUUCUGUCUAGUACAUGUAAACGAAAAUAUACAAUAAUAAUAUAAUAAGCUUUAUUGGUAUACAAAAACUAA